UAUGACACUGAAGCGAGAGUGU
rnacentral:miRNA from 1 species